rnacentral:rRNA from 1 species
GACGUAGGGCGCGAGCGUUGUCCGGAUUUAUUGGGCGUAAAGAGCUCGUAGGCGGUUUGUCGCGUCGUCCGUGAAAACUCACAGCUUAACUGUGAGCUUGCGGUCGAUACGGGCAGGCUAGAGUUCGGUAGGGGAGACUGGAAUUCCUGGUGUAGCGGUGAAAUGCGCAGAUAUCGGGAGGAACACCGGUGGCGAAGGCGGUUCUCUGGGCCUUACCUGACGCUGAGGAGCGAAAGCGUGGGGAGCAAACAGG